CAUAUAUCUCUGGGUUGAGUUUAUCUGAUUCUGAAAUUCAGGCUAUGGGUAGGUGGAAGUCUGAUACAUUUCGUUCAUAUAUUCGAAUACAACAAUGUCUAUACCUGUUAGAUUUAUUUUUAAUUUUGUUUAAUGAACUUGCAAUCACUUUAGUGGGACUAACCACUAUAUAAUUAUUGUAUUUGGCCCACAGCUUUUACGCAGCUCUAUCCGCUUGGAAUGGCGGUUGACCCGUCAGUCAUUUAUGACUGCCUUGGUCAAUUUGGCACAUUUCGCUGCGUUUACUUUAGAUAUGCGUCAUUUUGUCGCAUAUUUCAAUUAGCAUCCAAAACAUUUGAUAUUGGGGUCUCUGUAUCCCAGGACCCACCACACAAAAAAUAAUGAAUCUCUGUAUCCCAGGAAUCAUUUUAUUUUAUUGGAUGCUUCAUUUAUUGUAAAUAUUUAGUUAUCUAUCUAGUUAGUUAUCUAGUUAUCUUUUGUAGUCUGCCAAUAUGAAAGGCGACUACGUUCAUUUAAUUAUCUAUCUGUUUGCUAUAUAUAUAUAUCUUAACUGUUUAUCUAGUUAUAUGUGUUUAUAAUUUUGUAGUUUGUAAUAAAGCUGUGGCCAAAUACUGCCAAAACUGUGUUUCUGAUAUUUGCGCAUCAAUAAUAAUAGAAUUUAUGAUUCAGCAUAAAUUCGUUUAUUAGUGUAAGCAAUGUGUGUCAUUGACCGUGCUACUUUUUGUCUAAUGUGGGUUAUCACUUAUCCGAUUGAUCACCCGCAGUAUGACUGCGAAUGCAAUCUUUUCAAUAGCUACAUUUGACGAAAGCAGACGUAUAUUUAUUUUGAGGAUUUCAAAAACCACCCACCCACCGCUAUUUGUUUAUAAUAUAUUUGGACAAUUUUUGCUGUGUCUUUAUGUAUUUUUUUCAGAAUGUUCCUGUUACAAUUAAUGGUUCGAGACGUCAACUAAGCAGUCGACGGUAUAUGGGGCGCUAUCAGUUUGGUAUCCAGUGCACUUAUCUUAAGUCCAUAUUUUGCUGGUUGAAGUUUACCAUCUUAACGUUAUGUGCGUGUUCCAUUUCAAGACUAAGUAUUGUAGAGACAUUUCGCUGCGUUUACUUUAGAUAUGCGUCAUUUUGUCGCAUAUUUCAAUUAGCAUCCAAA
rnacentral:lncRNA from 1 species